rnacentral:rRNA from 1 species
GACGAACGCUGGCGGCGUGCCUAACACAUGCAAGUCGAACGGAGAAAUUCAGCAAUGGAUUUCUUAGUGGCGAACGGGUGAGUAACGCGUAGACAACCUGCCUCCAAGAUGGGGACAACACCGCGAAAGUGGUGCUAAUACCGAAUGUUCUUUUUGUGGCGCAUGCCGGAAAAAGCAAAGGUGGCCUCUAUAUAAAAGCUACCGCUUGGAGAUGGGUCUGCGUCUGAUUAGCUAGUUGGUGAGGUAACGGCUCACCAAGGCGACGAUCAGUAGCCGGUCUGAGAGGAUGAACGGCCACACUGGGACUGAGACACGGCCCAGACUCCUACGGGAGGCAGCAGUGGGGAAUCUUCCGCAAUGGACGAAAGUCUGACGGAGCAACGCCGCGUGAGUGAAGAAGGUUUUCGGAUUGUAAAGCUCUGUCUUUUGGGACGAAUGUGCUCUUUGUAAAUAAUGAGGAGCAAUGACGGUACCGAAGGAGGAAGCCACGGCUAACUACGUGCCAGCCGCCGCCGUAA